UACGACGGGGGCUAGCGUUGUUCGGAAUCACUGGGCGUAAAGCGCACGCAGGCGGAUCGGUAAGUCGAGGGUGAAAGCCCGGGGCUCAACCUCGGAAUUGCCUUCGAUACUGUCGGUCUCGAGUCCGGGAGAGGUGAGUGGAAUUCCUAGUGUAGAGGUGAAAUUCGUAGAUAUUAGGAAGAACACCAGUGGCGAAGGCGGCUCACUGGCCCGGUACUGACGCUCAGGUGCGAAAGCGUGGGGAGCAAACAGG
rnacentral:rRNA from 1 species